rnacentral:rRNA from 1 species
UACGUAGGCAGCGAGCGUUGUUCGGAGUUACUGGGCGUAAAGGGUGUGUAGGCGGUUGUUUAAGUUUGGUGUGAAAUCUCCCGGCUCAACUGGGAGGGUGCGCCGAAUACUGAAUGACUUGGAGUGCGGGAGAGGUGAGUGGAAUUCCUGGUGUAGCGGUGAAAUGCGUAGAUAUCAGGAGGAACGCCGGUGGUGUAGACGGCUCACUGGACCGUAACUGACGCUGAGACACGAAAGCGUGGGUAGCAAACAGG